rnacentral:rRNA from 1 species
UAACUUAGUGGCGAACGGGUGAGUAACGCGUGAGUAACCUGCCCUGGAGUGGGGGACAACAGUUGGAAACGACUGCUAAUACCGCAUAAGCCCACGGCCCGGCAUCGGGCUGCGGGAAAAGGAUUUAUUCGCUUCAGGAUGGACUCGCGUCCAAUUAGCUAGUUGGUGAGGUAACGGCCCACCAAGGCGACGAUUGGUAGCCGGACUGAGAGGUUGAACGGCCACAUUGGGACUGAGACACGGCCCAGACUCCUACGGGAGGCAGCAGUGGGGGAUAUUGCACAAUGGGGGAAACCCUGAUGCAGCGACGCCGCGUGGAGGAAGAAGGUUUUCGGAUUGUAAACUCCUGUCGUUAGGGACGAUAAUGACGGUACCUAACAAGAAAGCACCGGCUAACUACGUGCCAGCAGCCGCGGUAAAACGUAGGGUGCAAGCGUUGUCCGGAAUUACUGGGUGUAAAGGGAGCGCAGGCGGACCGGCAAGUUGGAAGUGAAAACUAUGGGCUCAACCCAUAAAUUGCUUUCAAAACUGCUGGCCUUGAGUAGUGCAGAGGUAGGUGGAAUUCCCGGUGUAGCGGUGGAAUGCGUAGAUAUCGGGAGGAACACCAGUGGCGAAGGCGACCUACUGGGCACCAACUGACGCUGAGGCUCGAAAGCAUGGGUAGCAAACAGGAUUAGAUACCCUGGUAGUCCAUGCCGUAAACGAUGAUUACUAGGUGUUGGAGGAUUGACCCCUUCAGUGCCGCAGUUAACACAAUAAGUAAUCCACCUGGGGAGUACGACCGCAAGGUUGAAACUCAAAGGAAUUGACGGGGGCCCGCACAAGCAGUGGAGUAUGUGGUUUAAUUCGAAGCAACGCGAAGAACCUUACCAGGUCUUGACAUCCGAUGCAUAGUGCAGAGAUGCAUGAAGUCCUUCGGGACAUCGAGACAGGUGGUGCAUGGUUGUCGUCAGCUCGUGUCGUGAGAUGUUGGGUUAAGUCCCGCAACGAGCGCAACCCUUAUUGCCAGUUACUACGCAAGAGGACUCUGGCGAGACUGCCGUUGACAAAACGGAGGAAGGUGGGGAUGACGUCAAAUCAUCAUGCCCUUUAUGACCUGGGCUACACACGUACUACAAUGGCGUUUAACAAAGAGAAGCAAGACCGCGAGGUGGAGCAAAACUCAAAAACAACGUCUCAGUUCAGAUUGCAGGCUGCAACUCGCCUGCAUGAAGUCGGAAUUGCUAGUAAUCGCGGAUCAGCAUGCCGCGGUGAAUACGUUCCCGGGCCUUGCACUCACCGCCCGUCA